CGGGCAAGCCUGAUGCAGCAACGCCGCGUGAGGGAUGACGGYCUUCGGGUUGUAAACCUCUUUUAGCAGGRAARARGCGAGAGUGACGGUACCUGCAGAAAAAGCACCGGCUAACUACGUGCCAGCAGCCGCGGUAAUACGUAGGGUGCAAGCGUUAUCCGGAAUUAUUGGGCGUAAAGAGCUCGUAGGCGGUCUGUCGCGUCUGCUGUGAAAUCCCGAGGCUCAACCUCGGGCUUGCAGUGGGUACGGGCAGACUAGAGUGCGGUAGGGGAGAUUGGAAUUCCUGGUGUAGCGGUGGAAUGCGCAGAUAUCAGGAGGAACACCGAUGGCGAAGGCAGAUCUCUGGGCCGUAACUGACGCUGAGGAGCGAAAGGGUGGGGAGCAAACAGGCUUAGAUACCCUGGUAGUCCACCCCGUAAACGUUGGGAACUAGUUGUGGGGUCCUUUCCACGGAUUCCGUGACGCAGCUAACGCAUUAAGUUCCCCGCCUGGGGAGUACGGCCGCAAGGCUAAAACUCAAAGGAAUUGACGGCGGGCGGGGGC
rnacentral:rRNA from 1 species